UACGUAGGUGGCAAGCGUUGUCCGGAAUCAUUGGGCGUAAAGCGCACGUAGGCGGUCUGUUAUGUCGGAUGUGAAAGCCCUUGGCUCAACUGAGGAAGUGCAUCCGAAACUGGCAGGCUAGAGUACGAAAGAGGAUCGCGGAAUUCCCGGUGUAGAGGUGAAAUUCGUAGAUAUCGGGAGGAACACCGGUGGCGAAGGCGGCGAUCUGGGUCGAUACUGACGCUGAGGUGCGAAAGCGUGGGGAGCAAACAGG
rnacentral:rRNA from 1 species